CCUACGGGUGGCAGCAGUGGGGGAUAUUGCACAAUGGGGGAAACCCUGAUGCAGCGACGCCGCGUGGGUGAAGAAGCGCCUCGGCGCGUAAAGCCCUGUCAGCAGGGAAGAAAAUGACGGUACCUGAAGAAGAAGCCCCGGCUAACUACGUGCCAGCAGCCGCGGUAAUACGUAGGGGGCAAGCGUUAUACGGAUGUACUGGGUGUAAAGGGGGCGCAGACGGCGAUGCAAGCCAGGAGUGAAAUCCCGGGGCCCAACCCCGGGACUGCUCUUGGAACUGGGUGGCUAGAGUGCAGGAGGGGCAGGCGGAAUUCCUGGUGUAGCGGUGAAAUGCGUAGAGAUCAGGAGGAACACCGGUGGCGACGGCGGCCUGCUGGACUGCAACUGACGUUGAGGCCCGAAAGCGUGGGGAGCAAACAGGAUUAGAUACCCUGGUAGUC
rnacentral:rRNA from 1 species